rnacentral:misc_RNA from 1 species
AAGUCGUAACAAGGUUUCCGUAGGUGAACCUGCGGAAGGAUCAUUAAUGCAAAUGUGUGAGUGUGCUGGUCCCGUCGUCCGUAUGUCGCGGUUGAACAGAGAGCCACAUAUUGAACCCUCUUAAAACGCUCGACUUUUUGGUCGUCUUUGCACAACUAGGGAGCUCGACGUCACAAGUAACCAGAGACUUUUUCUUUUCUUUUCGGGUUUGUGCUAGCAGAAUCCGGAAGGAAGGGGGAAACGUUCUCUAAAUUUUUUACACCAUAAUUACCCUACUUCUAUAAACUAUUAGACUGAUAUAACAUCUACAUUUAUUAUUUAAUAAAUGUAAAAAAAAAAAUUAAGAACAACUCUUAGCAAUGGAUAUCUAGGCUCUC